rnacentral:rRNA from 1 species
GCUCAGGACGAACGCUGGCGGCGUGCCUAAUACAUGCAAGUCGAGCGGACAGAAGGGAGCUUGCUCCCGGAUGUUAGCGGCGGACGGGUGAGUAACACGUGGGUAACCUGCCUGUAAGACUGGGAUAACUCCGGGAAACCGGAGCUAAUACCGGAUAGUUCCUUGAACCGCAUGGUUCAAGGAUGAAAGACGGUUUCGGCUGUCACUUACAGAUGGACCCGCGGCGCAUUAGCUAGUUGGUGAGGUAACGGCUCACCAAGGCGACGAUGCGUAGCCGACCUGAGAGGGUGAUCGGCCACACUGGGACUGAGACACGGCCCAGACUCCUACGGGAGGCAGCAGUAGGGAAUCUUCCGCAAUGGACGAAAGUCUGACGGAGCAACGCCGCGUGAGUGAUGAAGGUUUUCGGAUCGUAAAGCUCUGUUGUUAGGGAAGAACAAGUGCAAGAGUAACUGCUUGCACCUUGACGGUACCUAACCAGAAAGCCACGGCUAACUACGUGCCAGCAGCCGCGGUAAUACGUAGGUGGCAAGCGUUGUCCGGAAUUAUUGGGCGUAAAGGGCUCGCAGGCGGUUUCUUAAGUCUGAUGUGAAAGCCCCCGGCUCAACCGGGGAGGGUCAUUGGAAACUGGGAAACUUGAGUGCAGAAGAGGAGAGUGGAAUUCCACGUGUAGCGGUGAAAUGCGUAGAGAUGUGGAGGAACACCAGUGGCGAAGGCGACUCUCUGGUCUGUAACUGACGCUGAGGAGCGAAAGCGUGGGGAGCGAACAGGAUUAGAUACCCUGGUAGUCCACGCCGUAAACGAUGAGUGCUAAGUGUUAGGGGGUUUCCGCCCCUUAGUGCUGCAGCUAACGCA